GGCACCGCGCAUCCCAUCCCAAGGCGAGGCUGCUCGCGGCCGCGGCAAACUCUAGGACCCACUUCACAGAUGAAGAAACUGGGGUCACCCCAUUACAAGUGGCAGGCGCCACAGCCCGAGCGGCCCCGGCGGGAAAGGCGGGGCUGGGCUCUCGUCCGCUGUGCCAGUGGGGACACCCCGUUCCCCAAGAGUCCACGGCCUCAUCUGGAAAACAGCCACAGUGACCCCUCCUCAGGGGAGGGGUUGGCACCGUGGCCAGGAGAACGUGACCCACCGCUGGCCGCUCCCUAGCUCCGAUGGCACCCCGGGGUUCGUGCCAGGAGCUCCUUCGGCACCAGCGGCAGGAAAGAACCCCCAUUUCUCCAUUCUGCAGACGCGCAAACAGAGGCCCUUCCUCCUCCAUCACAGCCCCACCCCCAGUGUCUUGGCACAGGUCCAGGGACACCAGCUGGACCACCCCCCUCUUUCUUCUCUUUUCUUUUGUGCCCUGUGGGGCCCAAUUAAACCUAAUUUCGUGACUUCA